ACACAACACUGUAAAGCAAGUAUCCUCCAAUUAAAAAUAAAAUUAAAAAAAAAACAAAAAAUCAAGCUGGCUAUGUUACUCUAACAAAAAUAAAACGCAUCUGAAUCAAGAUUGAAAUGUGAGAGUAAUUAAUAAUGCACCUCUGUAUGUUCUAGAACAGUGGUUCUCCCGGUGGAAUACAUGUGGCAUCUUUGCCUCCCAGGGGACAUUUGAGACGUCUGGAGACAUUGCCAGUGGUCACAGUUGGAGGGGAGGAAAUGCUUCUGGCCUCUGGCGGAUGGAGACCAGGGUGUUGCCAUUUCACCGCACACAGGCUAGACCUCCAGGGAAAGAUCAUCCUGUCUGAAAGUCAGAGACAACUUGUCCUGGAAGGAGGCGAAAGGGCAGGAGUCACCUCUGGAAGAAAGAGGAUGUGAUGAAGGGGGAUGGUCUUCAGGGCAGGAAGAGGAGGGGAAAAGCCUGCCUUCUUCCUAAGGCCACUGCGGAGAGGCCUGUGGAGCCCGAGGUCCCAUGGAUAAAAUUGAAAAAGAGUCAAAAAGACAAUCAAAUGGCAAGAGUACCAAAAAGCAACGGAAGAGCGUGGCCCACAGUUUGAAGUCAUCAUGGAAGACGGUGGAAGAGUUUGCAGGGACAGGAGAAGGGUUAAUUCCACAGCCCAGAAUGUCAGAUGGAGGAGAUUUUUGAGAUUUUUCUCUGGAAGCUCCAGGGAAGCUCUUAGCUCAGAGUCAACAAAAAGGAAUGAUGUCAUGCCAGUUCGAGUCUCACCUCUGAGAGGACUGGUGACUUUUGAGUUCUUCCCCCGGAAAUUCUUGGAACCCAACUGCCUUUCAGGACCCAGUGGCCACUCUUUGAGAAGCACAGGCUGCUGGGAAAGGCCGAGCGAAGGUGCUGCAGCCAGCAGCCUGCAGGAGCAUCACCUGCCGUUGGAUAACUCAGCUCAGCCCACUUCUCUCCUAGAGAGGAAGACCCACCCAGCAGAGCCCACUCAGCCCACAGAGGCCCUGGGGAUUAUAGAGUCGUAUGUAAGUAUUUAGAUACCGAUUGUGCAGAGGAUUACCAUAGUUUAAAAUGCUGAGAGCUGAAGAGGGAAGGGGAUGUGAGAGGCAAAGUAUAAAGCCUUAACACAGCGACAGAAUUUAAAGUGCUAAUUUGUAACAGAAAAACAAACACAGAACAUCUUAUUAUAUAUUUCUGGAAAGUGGAACUAAGGGUAGGAAUAAUUCACAAGGGAACUUACAUUAUCAUUUUAUAGUUUUCAUUAAAUUUUUACUUUUUCAUUGUUGUUUA